GAGUAAGGAAUAGCUAGCCUGGCUUACCCUUCCAAAUGUCUCUUACUUACUGAAGUCAUUCUAGAGCCAGGAAAGAUGGUGGGCCACCAACUCAACAAGGAGAGAAAAGGAAUAGAGUAUGAAUUCUGCAUCUCGGGUUUGGUUGAUUUGUUGGACUACUAAAGAGUCACAGCAAGUCAGAAGAGAGACUUUCCCCUGCCUACCCUUCCUUCUCAUCCAAUGCCUUAUCCUGGACCCACGUUGCUGCAUAAUGACACCAUCCUACAGAGAAGAAAGAGGGGUAGGAGCUCCUAGGUUCUGCUCAGCAUGGGGUGGCCAAGAAAUUAUUUUCUCCAUGCAGAUGGGAGCACUGGUGAGGACCAGAAUUGCUUUUGGGCCAGGCAUGCAUUGAGGAGCCUGAAGAUAAAGGGCCCAGUUCCAGUUCAGGCUAUUGUGGAUAGAGAUAAUGGUGUGUACUUACUGAAAACAUUGGGGUGAAAACAUUUCAUAAGAGAAACAGAUAACGGUUGUGACGAAGGUAGAGAAGAGGAAGCAGACACUUGGGCAUCCUGUAUAUUAAGGGCUAAGUCAUUUUGUGUACAUAUUUCUCUCUGUAUUUUAUUCCCUUUCCAAUAAUAAUCAGAAAGAGAUCAAUAAUAUCUAGGAAAUGCUUUAAGAGGUUAAAGUAGGGCUCCUUCUCAUUUUAUGACCUUUAUAGAAGUCAGAUAUUGAACAAAGUUUUCUACUAUUCCAUCCUUAAGAAGAGAUGAAUACCACUUAGAGUAGCUCUUUUUCCCAUGAAAUUUGCUAAGACUUUUAAAAAAUUUUUUAUUUAUGUGUAUGUGUGUAAAUCUCUCUGGGUGUUUACCAUGUGAGUGUAGGUGCUGUUGGAAGCCAGAAGAGGGUAUUGGGUCCCCUGGAGCUAGAAUUACAAGUAGUUCUGAACUGCCCAAUAUGGGUUCUGGGAACUGAACUUGAGUCCUCUGGACUACCAAGUACUCUUAACAAUUAAGCCACCAUCUACCCCCAUGUUUCCCAUGGAUCUUAAGAACCAUUAUCCAACCAUCCUACAGAUACCCACAUAUGCCUGAGAUUUCCGGUCUGGGUCCAUCUUUAUUCCAAAGAGAUGUACUCUUCAGAGUGACUCACUGUCCCUGGCCACUGGCAGCUUUUUAUUCUCCUCUCAAAUAUUUUGCUCAUUGGAUUAAAGAGCUUGACCCAUGAAAUUGACCUGCACAUGCUUCUGCUUUUUCCAAAGUUGGCAUCUGAUGUGUUGGGUUCCAGCCUCUUCUUGUUCCCUGAGGCUGUCCAUUUGAAACAAAACUUGAGACUUCAGCUGGCAUUGAUACAGCUUUCUCUCAGAUCUUUCUUUAGCCUCAGAACCACCCCCAGGGAUAUAAAGGAUAAUGCGGAAACCUGUUUAGGACUGCAUAAGUAGAAGGAAAAAAAAGAUACUUGGCUCGAGUCUCAGACUGGGACCAGAAUUAGGGUAUUGGAUAUAUGCCAACACUUUAAUUCCUAUUUCAGGCAUCUUAUGACUCCAGUCCCUGGUUUGUUCUUCUGUAUACAGAAACCACCCCACACUGAGAGAAUAGAUAUUAAUCACCCUUCUUGAAAAUCAUACCAGGUUUGUUGGAAGAGGGGAUCUAGUAUCAGAGGGAGUAAGUAAAGCACAGUUGUUCUGCCAGCCUUUCUGGAAGGAUUUUAUUCAGGAUUUUUUUCUGACUUGCUCCCUUGUAACUCGUUCUUGCUAUGAAAAGAAGGGUUAGUCUCCAAUGAAGAUAUUUCUCAUCCAAAUUUUCCUCUGUCCAUAUUUUUUUCUGUAAGAUAAAAAAAUCCCUUCAAAUCUCUCUUAUGUUGAUGGUUGUAUAGAAUACUGAAAAUAAAAUAAAAACGCUCACAUAACAUCUUACAGUCUUGAUUUUGAGUGUUCUCAUUGUGGUCAAAAUACCCCAGAGUCAUCCAUCUGCCCCAUGCUGAGUUAGGGGGAAAAGGAUGGGUCAGCAUUAGGUAGGAGAUUAGUGAUGUAACUUAAAAACUUUAUUUCCUUUACACAACUGAUUUCCAGAGUCAGGCCAUGUCUGAUAUGAAUGCAAAGAGCAGAGACUUGUGGACCAGUUUUGGCAGCUAGAUUAGUACUUCCUGUGCCUCUUAGGUAUGUAUAUUAAUUAGGGCUUUUAUUACUAAAAUUGACAAAAUACCAUGACCAAAAGUAGUUUGGAAAGAAGAGGGUUUAUUUCAUCUUAUAACUUGUAGUCCAUUAUUCAGUGAAGUCAGGGCAGUAACUCAAAGUGGGAAUCUGGGGAGGCAGGAAUUGAUGUAGAGGCCACGCAGAAGAGCCACUUACUGACUUGUUCCUCAUUAUUUGCUCAGCCUUAUACUAUCCAGGAUUACCUGCCUAUGAGUAGAAGCACCUACAAUAGGUUAGAAUCUCUCAUAGCAAUAACAACAACAACAACAACAAAAAAUGCCCAACAGGCUUGUCUUCAGGAAGAUCUGAUAGAGGCAUUUUCUCAGUUGAGGUUCCCUCUUCUCAGGUGAAUUCUAUCCUAUGUCAAGUUGACAUAAAAACUAGACAGAACAGAAUGUCUCUAUUGCUCCCACCCAAAAGGAGACACUGCCCAGUGCAUUUUACAAUGCCCUUGGGGCUCCACUGGGACUCAGGGAAAUACUUUUAUGAGAUUCACAGUUUUAAAUUUAAAUUUGUACAUCACUCUUUCUGUUUUCUGUAUGAUGGGGAAAGGAUGAUUGGAGUAAUUCUUAAUAAAGAAAAGAUCUGGCGAUAGUCAGGGUAACAUCUCUCAGACCCUAUACCCCUACCUAGCAUCCUCAGGUCUUGAAGAGAAGCUGUAAUAUAGGUCAAUGAACCCUUGGCUGGGGGCCUAAGGUUUGAAUUCCUCUGCUCAGUGUGUCAUUGACCUCUAGUUACUUGGACAAAUUCCUUCAUCUCCAGAUGUCAAUGUUAUCUCUGCACAGGAGCUGAGCUCCUGUGACAUCUAGAUACCACGUCCUACUCCAGCAACAGUCCUAUGUUGUUGGAACGCUCCAAGCCUCCGAAAUACUAAGUUAAGUAAUCAUAUCAUGGAUGCUGUUCUGAUAUUAGCUAAGCAGGUGGAUUCUUAGUUUAGAAAUUUUUCAUCAUGAAAAUAAUUAAGAUGUUUCUUUUAUCCUUUGACCUCUUGUCUCUCCAUUCCUUUUAUGAAACUAACUGUACUGCUCAUUGGUGACUAGGCACUGGGCAAUUCUCUCCUGACCCAUCAUACAGAUGAGGUGUGAAGAGCACUGGAGUGAAAGUCAGGCAGUGGGGGCCCUGCCCCUCUCUGGCACUAACUAGCUCUGUAGCCUUGGGCUUGUAUUGGUCCCUCUAAGGGUCUCCAUUUCCUUGCCUAUUAAUUGGGGUGUCUGAACUAAAUGAUCUUUGUAGACUUCAGUCCUUUCAUCCUAUGACUUCCAAGCAAUGGCAUCUCCCUGGAGAGCUAGAGCUGAGUGGAAAUCCUGUGUCGUGCCCCUCCAAAUGGCAUACAAUUAAUUAUGGAAUUCCAGCAAUCAGCUUCCUCCCCUGCUCCCUGCCCCCUGCCUGCUUGCACUAAUGGCAUUUUCACAGCCUUCUGCUUAGAACAAGUCAGUCUCAGACUAACUGGCAUCUUUCCAUGGGUGUCAAAGGGAGUGGAGAGGUCUCUGCUUAGAACUCUCCUAAUUCUCUUUAAGAUUUGUCUUAAGCUUUUAACUUCCCUCCCCAUCUGUAAAACCAGACCUGUUAGUACUAUCAGGUAUUACUCCUAUUUUCCAGUUCCACUGUAUUUUGAGACCAAUAAAUGACUUUCUAUAGUUUGUUAAAAUUGUGGAAAUAUUAGACUAGCUUGUAUUAUACAAGAAAGACUGAAGUUUAAGAAGAAAAACAAAGGAAGAUGCUCUUCCUGGUUAGUUAAAGCACUGUGCAGGUUUGGGAGCACAGACUCUGCUGACAUGGUGUGUUCAUGGAGAUAUGGCCAUAGACUCAAGCACAGACUCUAGAGACAGCCAUAGUGCUAGAAUAUGUUGUUAUUGCCAGGUCAGCCAAUCCAAUGAUGCCUCUGCUUUUUUCUCUGCAAAUGUGACCAAUACAUGACAUGACUAACCUUGUCAUUAAAUGGAAUUAGGUAUCUGAAUUAGUUUAAUCAAUCUAGUGUUGGACGCAGGAGUCUUCAGUAUUAAAAUUAUGCUUGACAUUGUUUUAUUUGUUUGGUUGGAUUUGUUUUCUUCCUGGAGUUUGAUAACCUUCCUUGCCCAUCAACACUCCCCAUUCCCAUGAAGUACUGGCCUUUUUGGCUUCUUUGUCUAAUCUCUCAGGAGACCCCACUGAAUGAUGGUGUGUAGACUAUUUUUAUGCCAACUAAAUACAGGUUGUAGUCAUCUGAGGGAACUGCAAUUGAGAAGAUGCCUUCAUAAGAUAAGUCUGUAGGCAAGCCUGUAGGGCAUUUUCUUAAUUAGUGAUUGCUGGGGGAAGGCCCAAUCCAUUGUGGAUUAACUCACAAAUGGUCAGGUGGCCCUGGGUUCUAUAAGAAAACAGGGUGAGUGAGCCUAGAAAGCAAGUCAGUAAGUAGCAUCCUUCAUGGCCUCUUCAUCAACAGUUGCCUCCAGGUUCUGGCCCUGUUUAAGUUCUUGUCCUGACUGUUUUCAAUGAUGAACAGUGAUGUAGAAGUGUUUCCUUUCUUUCCCAAGAUGUUUUUGGUCAUGGUGUUUCAGCAUAGCAAUAGGCACCCUGACUAAGUGGAUGGUUUGGAGAACUGCUAGUUCCCUUCUCAACCUUGGGCUGCUACUGACUCCUGACCUAAUAACCUGGCUACUCAGUCUCUUUGCUAGAUGGAAGACACUACCCUCAGAAUGGUACCGCUCACCCAAUGCACUCUCGGUAAGCAUGAAGCUUAAGAUUUGCCCUCAUUAAAAACAUUACAUCGUCUAAAAUGGGAAUCAGGUUUCCUGUGUACAGCUCCUUGAACUGAGGGUUGUGCUGUGUUAAUUUUUUCUCAUUAAGUACAUUUCUUCUCUUCCUGUUUCCUUCCUUCAAUACCAGUGUUGAAACAGUACAGCAAACAGGAGGAAACAAGACUUUAUGCAGGCAGUGGCAGGGGUGAGGCUGAGGUAAUUUGUUUAAUGUUUCUUAUCGAUUGAUGAGUUCAA